ANGGGAGGUUAGACNGCNAAGCAANUUUGAAGUGAAANCCCGGGCUCAACCCGGGAAUUGCUUUGGAAACUGUUUAGCUAGAGUGCAGGAGAGGUAAGCGGAAUUCNUAGUGUAGCGGUGAAAUGCGUAGAUAUUAGGAGGAACACCGGCGGCGAAGGCGGCUUACUGGACUGUAACUGACGUUGAGGCUCGAAAGCGUGGGGAGCAAACAGGAUUAGAUACCCUGGUAGUCCACGCUGUAAAC
rnacentral:rRNA from 1 species